CCGGCACGGGUGAGUAACACGUAUCCAACCUGCCGUCUACUCUUGGCCAGCCUUCUGAAAGGAAGAUUAAUCCAGGAUGGCAUCAUGAGUUCACAUGUCCGCAUGAUUAAAGGUAUUUUCCGGUAGACGAUGGGGAUGCGUUCCAUUAGAUAGUGGGCGGGGUAACGGCCCACCUAGUCAACGAUGGAUAGGGGUUCUGAGAGGAAGGUCCCCCACAUUGGAACUGAGACACGGUCCAA
rnacentral:rRNA from 1 species